CCUACGGGUGGCAGCAGUCGAGAAUCAUUCACAAUGGGGGAAACCCUGAUGGUGCGACGCCGCGUGGGGGAAUGAAGGUCUUCGGAUUGUAAACCCCUUUCAUGUGGGAGCAAAUUAAAAAGAUAGUACCACAAGAGGAAGAGACGGCUAACUCUGUGCCAGCAGCCGCGGUAAUACAGAGGUCUCAAGCGUUGUUCGGAAUCACUGGGCGUAAAGCGUGCGUAGGCUGUUUCGUAAGUCGUGUGUGAAAGGCGCGGGCUCAACCCGCGGACGGCACAUGAUACUGCGAGACUAGAGUAAGGGAGGGGGAACCGGAAUUCUCGGUGUAGCAGUGAAAUGCGUAGAUAUCGAGAGGAACACUCGUGGCGAAGGCGGGUUCCUGGACAUUAACUGACGCUGAGGCACGAAGGCCAGGGGAGCGAAAGAGAUUAGAUACCCUGGUAGUC
rnacentral:rRNA from 1 species